CCUACCCUGACCCCUUUCCCAAGGCCUCAGAUGCUGGGGUUUGGACUGAGAGGAGGGAUGGGGACACUCAAAGGUCCAGCAGACGUCGGGCUGGAUGAACUGGCAGAGCAGAGACAGCCCUGGUGCAGCCCAGGGUCACACCUCUGCCCUCCCCUGGCUGGUUCUCACAGUGGGCUGUGGGCACCACCAGGCCCUGAGCCCUCCUCUCAUCCUCUCCCCUUCACUCCUGAAGGAAAUUCUUGUUUGGCUUUGUUUUUCUCCAGCACUUUGAAUAAAGCAUCCCCGUCUUCCCUCCCUGCAAGAUGCUUGCACAAAGACCUGCUGAUUGUCUUUCCAGGGUGCCCUGGAGGGUGGCACAGGGCACUGUUAUAGGCACAGAGUGCAGAGGGGCCUGCUGCAGUGGGGAGGACCAGGCACCUCUAGGUAAAUGCAGCUCUAGUUUGGAUCGAACUGCUUCCCAGGCUCUUGUCCGAGUUCUAGAACAAACCUUCAGAGCACUGACAGGAAUACAAACACAUCCUGCACCUACAGAGUAAGGGAACACUGUCUGGCCUCCCAUCCACCAUUACCAGACAGGCAGGGGGAGGAACCACAGCACCCGUCCACAGAACACCUGGGGUUCAUCUCACACUCCUGGGCCCACCACAGGGACCUGGCGUCUGCUGAGGUCCUGGGGCUCCUUGGCUUGGUGUGUGGUGCCCAGGCCAUGUACAGGGAUGUUAGAAUUGGUAGAGAAAGACAUUAAAACAGUCCUUGUAGGGGCUGAGGGGGUGGCUCAGUGGUGGAGCGCAUGCCUUGCACACGUGAGGCCCUGGGGUCAAUCCCAGCCCCAAAACCAUUCACC
rnacentral:lncRNA from 1 species